AUUUUUAAAAAGAAUUUUAUUUUUUUUGAUAUAAUAUUUUAUUUUAAUGAAAUUAUUUAAAGAAAUUUAAUUUUAGUAAUAUAGAUAAAUUAUUAAUUAAAAUUGUGCCAGCAAUUGCGGUUAAACAAUUAAUAUAAAUAAAUUUUAUGAUAGAUUUUAAAUUAUUUAUUAAAAUUAGAUAAAUUGAAAGUUAUUUUAGUUAUUCUUUUUAAAUUAAUUUAGUAAAAUAAAAUAAUUUAAUAAUUUAAUAAAAAAUAUAAAAAAUUUAAAAAAAAUUAUUAAUAAACUAGGAUUAGAUACCCUAUUAUAAAUUUAAUUAUUAAAAAAAAUGUAGAAUUAAAUUAGUAAAAUUAAAAAUUUGAAAAUUAAAGAAUUUGACGGUAUUUAAAUCAAUUUAGAGGAAUUUGUUUAGUAAUUGAUAACCCACAAUUUAUUAUACUUAUAUUAAAAAAUUUGUAUAUCGUUGUUAUAAAAAAAUUUUUAUUUAAAUUAAAAUUUUUUAAAAUUUUUAAAUAAAUUUAUAUCAAAUCAAGAUACAGUUUAUUGAUAAGAAGAAUUAAUUAAUGAAUUACGAUAAUAAUUUAUAAAUUAUGUAAAUUUAUUGAAAAUAAAAUUAUUAAAUUGGAUUUAAAUGUAAUAAAAAAUAAAUAUUUUUUAUGAUUUUUGUUUUUAAAUAAGUACAUAUUGCCCGUCACUCUCAAAAAUUAUAAUAUAAUUGAGAUAAGUCGUAACAUAGUAGAAGUAUUGGAAAAUGUUUCUAGAUUGAUAAAAUUUUUAUUUAGAUUAAUAAGUUAAGAAAAUUAAUUUUAUUAUUAGAUAUUAUUAUUAUAUAAAUUAAA
rnacentral:ncRNA from 1 species